AGGCAAAUGAUGAAUUACUCGGAUUCCCCUUCAGGACAUUUUGGGUGAUGUACGACUCGAGUUUCUGAUGCA
rnacentral:snoRNA from 1 species